rnacentral:misc_RNA from 1 species
GAGGAACGUGAAGCAAUAGAACGUUUUGAAGAAAUGGGUUUUGAUCGGGCAAUUGCAUCAAAAGUGUUCUUUUCAGGCAACAAGAAUCAGGCGCUAGCUGCCAACUACCUUCUAGAUCAUAGUCGUUUUAGGAUUAAUUGAUUUUAUAUAUAUUUUCAUUGGAAAUACUCUCAAUCCUCAGCAAAAAUGCCAGGAAAUUAUAUUUUUUCCCCGAUUAUAUAUAUUCUCCUCAACUACAAUGAAGUUUGGAAUCUAGAGUUCUACAAUGAGUGAAGUUUCUAG